rnacentral:rRNA from 1 species
CGAGUUCUGAUUAUUGAAAGGUGCUUGCAUCUUGAUUUAAUUUUGAACGAGUGGCGGACGGGUGAGUAACACGUGGGUAACCUGCCCUUAAGUGGGGGAUAACAUUUGGAAACAGAUGCUAAUACCGCAUAAAUCCAAGAACCGCAUGGUUCUUGGCUGAAAGAUGGCGUAAGCUAUCGCUUUUGGAUGGACCCGCGGCGUAUUAGCUAGUUGGUGAGGUAACGGCUCACCAAGGCAAUGAUACGUAGCCGAACUGAGAGGUUGAUCGGCCACAUUGGGACUGAGACACGGCCCAAACUCCUACGGGAGGCAGCAGUAGGGAAUCUUCCACAAUGGACGCAAGUCUGAUGGAGCAACGCCGCGUGAGUGAAGAAGGCUUUCGGGUCGUAAAACUCUGUUGUUGGAGAAGAAUGGUCGGCAGAGUAACUGUUGUCGGCGUGACGGUAUCCAACCAGAAAGCCACGGCUAACUACGUGCCAGCAGCCGCGGUAAUACGUAGGUGGCAAGCGUUAUCCGGAUUUAUUGGGCGUAAAGCGAGCGCAGGCGGUUUUUUAAGUCUGAUGUGAAAGCCCUCGGCUUAACCGAGGAAGUGCAUCGGAAACUGGGAAACUUGAGUGCAGAAGAGGACAGUGGAACUCCAUGUGUAGCGGUGAAAUGCGUAGAUAUAUGGAAGAACACCAGUGGCGAAGGCGGCUGUCUGGUCUGUAACUGACGCUGAGGCUCGAAAGCAUGGGUAGCGAACAGGAUUAGAUACCCUGGUAGUCCAUGCCGUAAACGAUGAAUGCUAGGUGUUGGAGGGUUUCCGCCCUUCAGUGCCGCAGCUAACGCAUUAAGCAUUCCGCCCGGGGAGUACGACCGCAAGGUUGAAACUCAAAGGAAUUGACGGGGGCCCGCACAAGCGGUGGAGCAUGUGGUUUAAUUCGAAGCAAC